rnacentral:lncRNA from 1 species
UGGAGAGCACAGACAACGGGGCUUCCAACUCAGAGAAAAACAAGCCCCUGGAGCAGUCUGUGGAAGACCUCAGCAAGGGUCCACCCUCCUCCGUGCCCAAAAGCCGCCACCUGACCAUCAAGCUGACCCCAGCCCACAGCAGGAAGGCCCUGCGGAAUUCCCGCAUCGUCAGCCAGAAGGACGACGUCCACGUCUGUAUUAUGUGCCUACGCGCCAUCAUGAACUACCAGGUCAGCCGAGGGGCAUGGGACUGGCGACUAGGGAGCCCAGCCUGUCCUCACUGGGGGCUACACAAGCUGCCGAGGCUCUGGGAUCCACUGUCCCUUUACCCUGUGCUGUGCUGGGGAACUUGCGCAUCUGGGCUGUUGGCUCAGGCUUUUAAGGCUGAUGAGUCUUGAGGGGAAGCCCAUGUUUUUGCUGCCUCUGUCAGGUUCUCUGAGUACCCCUGCCCAUGGCUGGGCAUGAAGGAGCCUCACAUAGGGACUGGGCUCACCUACCAAGAAGGGCUGGCCGGAGGGCCAGGGGAGAACAGCCUCGGGUCGAUUCAUUUGGAGGGCUGAUGGGUGAAGCUGGGUCCUCC